rnacentral:tRNA from 1 species
GCACCUCCCGGUGCGCGGACGGCGCUCCUUCCCUCCGGGGAACGCGGGCCGCCGGUUCGAACCCGGGAGGCGCG